rnacentral:rRNA from 1 species
CUGCUGCCUUCCGUAGGAGUCUGGUCCGUGUCUCAGUACCAGUGUGGGGGACCUUCCUCUCAGAACCCCUACGCAUCGUCGUCUUGGUGGUCCGUUACACCGCCAACUAACUAAUGCGACGCAUGCCCAUCCGCCACCGGAAUUAACCUUUGGCACCAACAGGAUGUCCCGUCGAUGCAUUAUGCCGUAUUAGACGGAAUUUCUCCCGAUUAUCCGGCUGUGGCAGGCAGGUUGCAUACGUGUUACUCACCCGUGCCG